rnacentral:rRNA from 1 species
GGUUGAUCCUGCCAGUAGUCAUAUGCUUGUUUCGAAGAUUAAGCCAUGCAAGUGUGAGUAUAAAUUUUAGAUGAAACUGCGAAACGCUUAUUAUAACAGUUAGAAUUCACUCGAGAGUUUUAUAUGGAUAGUAAUGGUAAUUCUGUUGGUAAUACAUGCUAAAUCUUAUUGAUAAAACAUCGAAUCAAACACUAACUAUUGGUGAAAAUGAUGUUAAUGGGGAUUGCUUUAUGCAACCACUCGAUCAACUUUCUGACCUAUCAGCUUCCGUCGGUAAGGUAGUGGCUUACUG